rnacentral:lncRNA from 1 species
AUUAGGUUACCAAAGGAGUUUUUAUCGUAUAAGGAAAGAAAAUUUCGUAUCAGGAAAAUUACCAUGCGACUGCAUGGUUUUAGUCCUUGCGGCCGCAUGGUUAUUCCAUGUUUCGAUUUAAAUUCCCUGCAUCCAUUCGUGCGGCCGCACGAGAGUUCUACCAUGCGACCGCAUGGUAGACUUCAACUUCCAUUCUCUUCAAUUUAGUCCCUUUACUUGAAUCUUUCACUUGUAGGCCUCUUUUCUUCACUCUUUCCAUUCCAUCAUCCCAAGGCAUCAUCAAUUGGCAUUUGGUUCAACCAAUUCCUUGAUUUGUUCAUUGGGUCAACUUUUGGGUAAUUGCACCUUGGUCCUUGAAAUUUCACUUCGUCUCAUUUUAGUCCUUUUUCGCGCCUUUUCUCAUGUAUUUCACCAUGUUCAUUGGUGUUCCCUACAAUUCACAAAUGUAAUGAAAUUAAGUCACAAUUCAAUCAUUUUGCUCGUAAUUAAGUCAUGUUUGUGACCUAAAUAAGUGUGUAAAAACACACUUAUCAGUAGACGCACCAAUUGUGGAUGAACCUGAGACCCUCGUUUGAAUUAAACUUGCCUGGAAGAGGUUGGAGUUCGAGAUCACGUACUUGCACGACCUCUGGCUAUUCAGCAAGGCCCUUAUCUCCUCAGCUCGCCUUUGAGUAUCCUUUAUCAAGGUGGCUUUCUGGUAAUCUGCAUAACACAGCAAAAGUUUAGUACUACUUUACUAGUCACCUCGGCCAAAGCAUCUAGGGACAAUUACUUACACAAAGAAUGAUAGAGUGUAGGAACGAUAUCCUCCUGAUUCACUUCGACGGGGUAAAACUGCCUCUCCCCAACACAUGGAAAAACUCCUCAGUCCACUUCUUAAUUGAGGAAGGGGUAUCCAAAACUAAGGGACUGCCCUCCUUGGCCUAAUGCUGGUAUACCACCAGUCUGAAUUUUUCCCGUCUUCCUUGAAUGUGGCUGCUCCACACUUAGCUCGGGAUUCCCUAGCUUAUUCCAUAGGACCAGGAUUGUGAUUAGAGUUCGCCACUUGUUGGCACAUAAUUGGGUGGGAGCUAUUUCCCAGAAUGAGAGGAACUUGUAGAUUACUCCAAGAACAGGCAGACUUAGCCCGACAUGUAAGAUGGCAGAGUUCAGGGUAACGUAUCCCACUGGGGAGAGUUAGCCCGAUCAGAGGGUUCAGGGAUUAUCAUUAUUACUGAGCUCGAAAUGUCAUACAUAGCAUGCCAGCUAGCUACCAUAUCAACAAUUACUGCCAACUUAUACAUGCUCGCUCCAUACUUCGGAUCAUUCCCCUCACAUCUCCAAUAGGAUCCGACCUCCUUUCUCAACCCCUCUCCGCCUAACUCCAUAUUUGCAGGGCAUUUUGAUCUACUGGGUUAACAAUUGAGAUAGGGAUAGGGAUUAGGAUUUCUUGACAGCUAGAUGAUGAGCUAGGGGUGAGAGAUACUGACUCUUCUUGCUGGUUUUCCUAGGAGUGUACUCUAGACUCGUCGGAGCUCAUGAAAAAGGCAAAUAGAAGGAAUGAAGAAAGGAGACAGAAGAAUAAGUGGGAACUAGGACCUGAUGACCACACUAAAAAAUGGAAGAAAGGGUGUACUGAAGGUUCCUUGUUUCCACAAGAGAGUGCAUUUGCGUAAAGAAAAAAGUAAAUAAAAAGCCAAGAGGUAAUUAAAAAGGGAGAAUAUCAAAAAACUUCAUUUCAGCUGAUAGAUGAUGGAAAUGAGGAAAAAUGGAUGAAUCAGAUUCACCCAGCCAAAACUACGCCGUUUUGAAAAAAGGAUUCCUAAGAAAGCCACCACGAAUGCUGUACAGCUCACCCCUAUAGAAAUGUGACACAUGGCACCACAAUAAAGACACUUCUAGAAAGAAGGGCCAACAGCAGAGGUCAGUCCUCCUCCAAAGCAGCACUGACCUGGGUGCAUUUGUUGACCAUUGAGCUCUGGUCCUAAUUUUGGCUUACAGGCUCCACCUUGUGUGCGUGUGAGAUCGGCCAUGGGAGAUCAGCUAGGUCAUACUGCCACCGUAAUCUCAAAAGACAUAAUGAUUGCAUAUCCCUUGUGUCUUGUCACAUCACCCUCUCAAUCACAUACACUUGUAGAGAGUGGUGUCAUCAUUGCCCAAAGCCACCAAUCCAAGGCCCCGGACCCCCAACCUCUUGCAGGCCAUCAUUACCUGAGAAGAACAUUGAUGCAUGGCAACUGGCCUCAUCAACCAAUCACAAGAGAAUUCGACGACUCGACUUCUGAGCUCUCUUGUAGCUGUUUUAUCGAUUUGGUGUAAUUUUGGUUGGAGUCAUGUAUAAAUAGUAGGGAGAUAGUUCUCCUAAGAACGGCUGAAUUUUCUUACAAACACAAUAUACAAUUCAGUCUUUAAAACAUACAUUUUGGUCUUUUUCAUAAUAGAGGAAGAUCGCCAUUUUUCUUGAAGUUGACUCGAGAUUAAUCUUUACAAAUUGACGUCAACAUAAAUGGUUAGCCAA